rnacentral:lncRNA from 1 species
UUGCCUCCCAAGUAGCUCACAGUUCCACUUCUAAAAAUAAAUUAGCAUAGAUUCUUCUAGAUCCAGCUUGAAUGAUGUAUCCAUUAAAUCUCUGAUGAUAUAUCCUACCCCGACUUCACCUUGUUUUAAAUUUGCAUCAAAGUUAACUAGAAUAUUGCAUGAAGGGGCCCACCAUAAAACUAAUCGAGGUGAUUGGGUUACAAACAUCACUGAGCUUCUGAUACCCCACUACCGCUCAUGCUCUG